CCGUGCUAAGUGGGGAGGUAGCGGUGCCCUGUACUUGCAAUCCGCUAUAGCAAGACCGAAUCCCUUUCCGAGGCUUUAUUUUUGUAGGGUCUGCCCUGCGUAAGUGGUGUUGACGUCCAGGUUCUGCGCAACGGAAACCCGCGAACCCUGUCAGGUCCGGAAGGAAGCAGCAGUAAGCGGACUCUUCCGUGUGCCGCAGAGCUGCCUGGACCGAGCAAACUGCGCAGGUAACGCUUAUGAAAAUAUUGUCGAAGAAAGGUGCACGG
rnacentral:SRP_RNA from 1 species